rnacentral:rRNA from 1 species
GUGGUGGAGCCGCUGACCCAAGGGGGUAGUAGGUAAGUGAUGGGGUGACGCAGGAAGGUAGUCCAGCCCGGGCGGUGGUUGUCCCGGGGUAAGGGUGUAGCCCGAGGAAUAGGCAAAUCCGUUCCUCGUUAAGGGUGAGACCUGAUGCCGAGCCGAUUGUGGUGAAGUGGAUGAUCCUAUGCUGUCGAGAAAAGCCUCUAGCGAGUUUUACGGCGGCCCGUACCCUAAACCGACUCAGGUGGUCAGGUAGAGAAUACCGAGGCGUUCGGGUGAACUAUGGUUAAGGAACUCGGCAAAAUGCCCCCGUAACUUCGGGAGAAGGGGGGCCAUGUCUGGUGAUCCGUCUUGCACGGUGAGCUGGGUGUGGCCGCAGAGACCAGCGAGAAGCGACUGUUUACUAAAAACACAGGUCCGUGCGAAGCCGUAAGGCGAUGUAUACGGACUGACGCCUGCCCGGUGCUGGAACGUUAAGGGGACCGGUUAGUCACACUUCGGUGUGGCGAAGCUGAGAACUUAAGCGCCAGUAAACGGCGGUGGUAACUAUAACCAUCCUAAGGUAGCGAAAUUCCUUGUCGGGUAAGUUCCGACCUGCACGAAUGGCGUAACGACUUCUC